UUUAUUGCUUAGAUGGGUGGACGAGCUCACAGCCCACCUGGUGUUAAGUGGUUACUGGAGCCCAUAGACAUCUACAACGUAAAUGCGCUACCCACCUUGAGAUAUAAGUUGUAAGGUCUCAGUAUAGUUACAUGUAUUAUAUGUAUUGUUUUUAGGUGGACCACCCUUAACAUUUAGAAGUAUGAAAAAUAGACGUUGAACGACUCUCAUAACUACCCGAUGUGUAUACAAAGUUUCAUGAGAAUCAGUUGAGCCAUUUCGGGAGAAUUUUUAUGUAUUAGAAUGAUUAUAUGAGAAAAAGAUUUUUUAGACAAGUUCACUCCACUCACCUGUAAUUCAAUGUGCAGAAUAAUUUAAUCUUACAUAAUAUAAUAAUAUUGAUAUUUGAGCAAAAGUUCAGCUAGGAGGGGUGGGGUUAGCUCACAGCUAACCGAGCGCCUCCGAAGGAGACCUAACAAUUCAAGAGCAGCUGCUUCGCUAAUGAUUCUACUACCGGAUCGGAAUUGCGACCCACUGUGAAGGUCCAGCGACAAAACUCAGCGGGCUAAUGCAUGGGUACAAACCAACGUCCUGCGCACGUCACCUGAGAUUCAGUUAUUGAAAAAACGUGAAGGACACUACGAAUUUAUUUCCUACAUUUAGAUACCGUCGUUUCAUGUGUAGAUACAUGUCGAGGGGUGAAACGUUAUUUGGUUUAAGCGAUAUUUCGCUUAAUACGCGACAUUUAUCUUUGUAAUUUUAAGGCAACGAAAUCUAACUUCUUUAAGGCAUCGAAAUCUAAUUUCUUUGCCACUAGCUUCCACUAACUAUAGGCAAAACUCAUUCUUUUUACGUGUUGGUGGUGACCUCAACAGACUUGGCAGGUUCUUAGAUAUUAAACCAUUUUAUUCCUCUAUCACAGGACUUAGACGUCAGCUUAGUGCACGAUUUUUCGUGGGCGAUGAAGGGGCAAUAGUUUUUUAUUAAUUUGUGACAUUUAUACAUAAGUGUACAUUUAAAUUAGUCUGGUGUUUUCCUCCAUUCCUUAUGUUGUUUCUUGCUUGCUGAUUGUUUUUAAUUUUUUUUUUUUGUUUCUAUUUGUUUCUCUAGUGUUUUUAAUUUGUUUAUGUUGUUUCUAUUAUUUGUUAUAUUAUUAUACUUUGUUAGUUGGCUGUUGGUUCUCCUUGUAUUAAAUAAAUAAAUAAAUAAGUAAUUAAAGAA